ACGUAGGGCGCAAGCGUUGUCCGGAAUUAUUGGGCGUAAAGAGCUCGUAGGCGGUUGGUCGCGUCUGCUGUGAAAUCCCGAGGCUCAACCUCGGGCCUGCAGUGGGUACGGGCCAACUAGAGUGCGGUAGGGGAGAUCGGAAUUCCUGGUGUAGCGGUGGAAUGCGCAGAUAUCAGGAGGAACACCAAUGGCGAAGGCAGAUCUCUGGGCCGUAACUGACGCUGAGGAGCGAAAGCGUGGGGAGCGAACAGG
rnacentral:rRNA from 1 species